GCGCCGUGAUGGUACCCCUGUGGAUGUGGCAAGCUUAACUCAAUUGCCAAUGGCUUCAAUGUCCCGUCAUCUUGUAACAAGAGCAGGGUUCUGCUGGCAUAUGUCUUUGUGGUAGUGGAGUUUAUUUUCUGCAGGUAUUGGGAAUUUCAUGAACCGCUCGCCAUCAUUUCGAAUAAGCUCCUUGAGCAUCUCCCAUGUUCUUCCUCUUCUGGGAUAUGGAUGCUCUUUUGAUCCACCAAGAACAGGGCGGGCAUACGAUGGACCGUCAUCCGGACUCCCCAAAUCAUUGUAGUAAUCAUAGUCAUAUACUCUGUCCCAUUCUUUCAGCUCACCUUUCCCAUCUCCUCUGAGAUUUAUAAGUUCUUCUUCUCUAUAUUUGCGUAAUGGCUCUGGUGUUUCACUUGGAAGCUUUGCCACGCCGAAAAAAGUUAUGAUGUGGAAAGCAAAAGUCUCAACCCAAUCAAGGAAGGAAAGGGCUGUCUAAUCUACCUGGAAAAUCAGACAACAUGAUUUUGCCAGAAAAAGGAGGUAAAUUAGAAAAUCAGUUAAAGCUAGUAAUCAUGAUAGAAAACACCAGCUAUAGUGGGUCUAAGUCUUCAGAGUAAUCAAACCCUUUAAAAUAAUAUUGGGAAAUUGUCCAUGCUUUAAAAAACGCUAAAGAUUAAGAUGAAAACAGAGAGGGUCAAGCUUAGAGUAUUAUUAUUAUUUUUUUACCUUGUUUGAAAAAAAUACA